rnacentral:misc_RNA from 1 species
UUCGGUUGUUCGCUUGGCUCUUUAGCCUUGCGGGUGGCCGUUUGCCAAGCGGCUUCGGAGAUGUCUAUCGUAAAGGUGCAUGAGUGGUGUUUGGUUUGAUAUGGGUGGUUGGCUCCCUGCUUGAGCAGGCACGACCACACGUACAUUCCUUUUCAGUUGUGCGGCAAGGCUUGUAUCGUCUUGAUCGUAUAUGUGGUUUCCUGUGUUGCAUACCUGAUCAAUGGUAUCGUUUCGAUCAAAAAUGUACCUUUUUCGUCAAGCAUUGCACCCGCAAUGUUUGAUGAACCAUGCCAGCAUCCUUUUCGAUCCAUAUAGUCGAUGAAUGUUCGUUGAUUGUUUGGCCCGUUGAGCGGUGGCUCGGUCUUUAGGAUAUGGAAGCCAAAGUGGGCAUGGGUUCGUAUGAUCCUUUUAUUGCCCUCGUUGAGCGUUCUCGCUUCUCUUACACGACCGCCAUUCACGCAUGGCACGUCCCAGUGUGUUUGGCUACGUCGAAGAGGAA